UUCGACUGUUUUACCAAAAACAUAGCUUCUCGAAAUUAUGUGAAGUGCCGUCUGCCCAGUGAUUAGAUUAAACGGCCGCGCAAGUGCUAAGGUAGCAUAAUCAUUUGCCUUUUUAUUGGAGGCUAGUAUGAAUGGAUUAACGAAGCUUAACUGUCUCUGGACAUCAAAAUUAACUUGAUCUACAGGUGAAAAAGCCUUUAUUCUAGUGAAGGACGAAAAGACCCUAUAGAGUUUGUAGUAUAAUUUUAUCAUCAAUAUAUAAUAAAAUAUACUUUUAUUGGGGCAAUAUAAGACCAAUAAAACUCUUAUUCUAACAUAAAUCCUCAAAGAGAAAAAAGAAAAACUACCUUAGGGAUAACAGCGGAAUCCUUCCAGAGAGACCUAAUUGAAGGAAGGGUUUGCGACCUCGAUGUUGGACUAAAGAAGCUCCUCAAUGCAGAAGUUUAGAGAGCAGGCCUGUUCGGCCUUUAAUUCCUUACAUGAUUUGAGUUCAUUCCGUA
rnacentral:rRNA from 1 species